rnacentral:lncRNA from 1 species
AGAUAAAAAAGAAAAACCAAAGAAGGAUAGAAAAGUAAAGGCUAAAGGUAAACAAUUGAAAAAUAUGAAUUUUUAUUCAACCACAAAAAUUAAAAAAAAUUAGGUCGUAUAUUGGUAUCACGUUGUCGUUGUCGUUUGCAUCAUACGAAGACAGAUGGUUUCCAGAUAAUAACUUUAGUAUAAGUAAAUGAAAAUCAAUACAAUUUUAACACAAGGUUUAUAACCACUGAAAGAAGGUUAGGAUUGAUUUUGGGGGUUAUGGUCCCAACUGUUUAGGAAUUAGGGGCAAACAAAUGGGCCCAAAUAAGCAUUUUUGUAGUUUCCAGUCAAUAACUUGUGUAUGAAUCUCUCUGAAAUUAUACCAUAAGUUUUCAUACGAAAAAGGGAUGGUUAGGAUUGACUUUGGGGGUUAUAGCUCAAAUCAUUUAGGAAUUAGUGGCAAAAAAGGGGGAAAACAAGGUUUUCGUUGAGCCUUUGACUUUAAGUCAGUGGCGUCAGUGUCCACAAAUAUUCACUCUGUGGUUAAAGUUUUUGAAAUUUUAAUAACUUUCUUUUACUACCCUGGAUUUGUACCAAACUUGGACAGAAGCUUGUUUAUGAUCAUAAGAUAGUAUCCAGAAGUAAAUUUUGUAUAAAAAUAAACCAAUUUUUUUUGGUAUUUUACUUUUAAAUAGACUUAGAAUUUCUGCCUUGAAACAUUACAUUCACUCUGUGGUUAAAGUUUUAUUAAAAUUUUAAUUACUUUCUUAAACUACCUUCGAGCACUGGGUUCUGUGGAACCGUUACAAAUUUUUCUAGUUUCUAAAGCAGUCAAGGGGAGGUCAUCCAAUCCCAUUUAAAAACAACAAUGUUUGAUAACCUCCCUAACACUGCUUGUAAAUUAUUUAUUAAGAAAUGAUGAUUGUCUUGAGGUGAUUAGCUGUCAAUUUAUUUUUAGAAGUUACAUUAAUUAAUAUUAAUUUUAGCCUUGACUCCGCAUUUCAUUUUAUAUUUUAAGGCUUUCAUGAUGUAUUUAAAUGGGUAAUUACAUGUAUGUUGCAAACGUUAUUAGAAAUUUGAAUUGAAAUAAUGACUAUAUCUUGAGGGAAAGAAUUUAUUUUGGAAUAAGGGAAAGGGGGUGGUGAAAAACAAUUUUUUGGAAAGAUUAGAAUGUUCUAAACUUUACUUAGACACCGGCCUCCUAACAACAGACAGUUUAGCUACUGUUAAAUGUAUUCACACUGAAAUUAGUUCCCUUUGUUCAUGUAUGCACAUAAAUACACAUAUAAACUGAAAAAAACUGGGUAUAUUGGGAGCAGUUCAUUCAAGAAUGUAUUCAUAAGGUGUGUUGAUGUGCAGGCUUUUAAAAAACAUUUUGAGUUGGUAACUGUAUUGAUUCACAGUAUAAUUGACAACUGUCAUUAUCACUAAACAAUCAGAGACAAGGACCUUUAAUUACAAUGCCCUUCUAAACUGCCAAUCAAAUUGACCACAUUACCUAUCUACCUCAGUCUUAAUAUUUACAGACACUCAUAGACAUAUAAUUCUAAUACACAAGUAUUUGACCUCAUAAUUGAAUACAACUUGUAUAUAGAGUUUGAUAUUAAGGAUGAUAAUUUUAUUUAUUGCCAAUUGCUUUUGAUCUACAUUACAUAAAGUGAUUCUGCAAAUUAUAUCUGAAAGAUAAAUGAUUAAUGGAUUAACAAGAUCUUAGAAAAAAAAUGAAAUAUGAAUAUAAUAUGAAUAAAUAAAAGUAUUCAAGUAGGCCUAUAAUUUACUUGAUAUAUUUCAAAAUAUCGUAAUUAAUCAACAAUUAAAUUAGUAACUUUUUUUAUCAGGAAUUGGCUGAAAAGUUUAGAAUUUAACUUUUUAAUUAUAACAAACAAUUGUUUAUUAGUUUAUUUCCCAUCAAUCAUUAUUUAGUCAUUUGAAAUUUUAUUAGAAGUGAAUAUAUAUUUAAUUUUGCAAUCAGAAAGAAUCACAUUUCAAUAGAUAAGUUUUUUAAUGGUUUACGUUGAAAAAGUCAUUUUGCAAUGCCCUGUGUUGAAAAAUCUUUAAAAAUUGAUCAAAGGCUCUUAAAUUUUAAUCUUCAAUGCAUAUAAAUCUGUUUCACUUACAAAAUGACAAAACAACAUUUAAAAUUUUUUUUGUUGACACUUUGGUUUGAGCUGUUGAUCAGAUUUAUUCUUACAAGGAUAGUUGGUAACAUUUACUAGAAGAACUUUUGCAUUUUUUCCUUUCUUUUAACAUGUUCAGAGGCAACAUAAUUCGAUAAGAAUAAACUGCGUUUAAAUAAAAUGGCAAAUUAAGAACCAUAUUUUUUAAUUUGAGCUCAUUUUAUCCUCAUACUGAAAAAGCAAGUUUCCUUCUAAAGACCUGCUGUAAAUGCAAUUUUCAGCAAUAGUGCUUUAUAAAUGUUCAUUUUUCCCCACCAUACCUUAAUAUGAAAUAAUUCAAACUACUCUUCUAAUCUUUCCAUGAGUGAUUUCAUCACUUUGAUUUUUUUUUUUUGGGGCGGGGGAGUUUGCAACGGCAUAGUGUAUUGCACUAAAGCAAAAAAAAAUGAAUAUAAAUUCAAUUCAUAUAACCAAUUUUAAGUUCUUUGAUUACAGUUAUUCUGUGGCAGAAACCUAUUAUGUGUGAAAUAUUGAAUUAAAAUCCAAAUUCAAACCUGUAUCAAGCGUGAAAUUGUGUCCAUUUUGGCCCAAAUUUUUCAGGGUUGGACAUCUGCAGUCAUAUCAAGCUGCACUCAGCAAAGCAAUUUAUUAGUUUUUGAUUUUAUAAAACUACAAAAAAUCUAGUACAGUUGAAAAGUUUAUACUUCAGCUACCCUAUUUGUGUAGAUAUCAUCUAGUGAAUGUAUAGCUAUUGCACUAAUGAUGUUAUUGGAAAAUGAAUGCAGAAUGUGCAACUUAUUUACAAUAGCCUAAGGCUUGCUUAAUAUAUUUUUACCUCAAGUACUUCUCUAUCUGUGUUUUGUCAGUGCAUGCAGCAUAGUGCAGAGAUGUGUAUGUUCUUUAGAUCCAAUUUAUGAAUAUUUCUAUCUAUAUCAUAUCUUGUUCAGCUAUUUUCUUUCUCAUUCGAAUUUUCUCUGGGUGUCAAAUUUAGGACUGUUUAUACAUUUUAAAUUAAAUCAGUACCGUUCUGUCACUUUUCAGGCAAUUUUUUUGUUUCACAAGAUAAUGCAUUUUAAGCAUUAUUUCCCAAACACGUACCGGUACACUUUGUAAGGCAUUGGCACAUCUCUUUUCCAUGGUGCCUUUUUAACCCUGUUCCCUUGGACAUGGUCUAAAGAAUUUUAAAUUAUGUCAGUUUUAGUCCGGCUGAUCGGUAAAAAAAUUGCACAAAUAAUGAGGAAAGCACCAAAUUUUACAUGACGGUACAUUUUUGUGUACUGAGCAUCAUAAGCUAUGGACCCACCCUCAAAAUUCAAUAUGGCGGCUUAUUUCAAGAUGGCCACCAUACAUUCUAAAAUAUUUUGCAGUAUUACACAAACUACAGUGAAUUUGAUGCUGGAAACACAAAAUUCAACAUAUUUAAAUGAUUUGGUGUACUUAGCAAGAUUUUGUUUUGAUCUAUUUUUGAAAUUCAAAAUAGCAGCUACUUUCAAAAUGGCUGCCUUGAAAAAAAAAUGCAUAUAUUCAUUUUUGAGAAUUGAACUGAAUUUUAUUCAUUUUAUUUAAGUAUAGUGUCAUUUAGUCCUUGUUCCAGUUCUGUCCUUUUGAUUUUGCCAGGCUUUUCAUUGCAUGUACAAAGUAGUAGCUUUCAUAAUGAUGUAGAGCUGAAGAAGUAGCUUUCAUUAAAAGCUGCAAUAUUUUUUAUACGCCCGUCAAAAUUUUGACCGGACGUAUUAUGGUAUACAAAUGUCCGGUGUUGUCGUCUGUCGUCCGGUAUCGUCUGUCCGUCUGUCCGGCGUAAACAUGUCGCACCGUAACUUGAGAACGACUUAUCUAAUUCAUGAAACUUUAUAUAGUUGUUUCUUAUGAUGGUCAAAUAAUCUGUAUACUUUUUGAUGAAAAUAAGAUUUAAACUUUUUGAGUUACGGCACUUUAUAACUAAAACAGGGGUGUGUUUUUUUCACAUGUCGCACUGUAUCUCAAAAACGAUUCUUGAUUAUGACUUAAAACUUUAAACACUUCUUAGUUAUAUUAAUCUCAAUAUCUGUAUACUUUUUGGUGAUGAUUCAAAAUUUCAUUUUUGAGUUAUUGAGUAUUUUGUAAAAAAAGGGGGAGGUUUUUGUUACAUGUCGCGCCAUAUCUCAUAAAUUAUUUAUGAUUAUUGCUUAAAACUUUUCACACUUCUUUGUUAUUUAACUAAAGUCUGUAUAUUUUUGGUUUUGAUUCAAAUUUAUUUAGUGAUAUUAGUUUUUGUAAAAAAAAAAAAGAUGUCCCGUGUCAAAACAAUAUAUGGUUAUUGCUUAAAGUUUCUUAGAACUAUUAUAUUAUGCAUUAUUCAACAAGACGUCGGGUGUAUAUGGCUCAGGCGCAGUGUUUUUUUUAUUUUACAUGUUGGCUUAUCUCAAAACGAUUUAUGAUAUGCUUAAACUACACAGUUUUUUUCCUUAAUCAAGAUCUGUAUACUUUUUGGUGAUUAUUAAAAUUUUAUUUUGAGUUAUUGAGUAUUUUGUAAAACAGGGAGGGUUUUUUACAGUGCGCCGUAUCUCAAAAAUAAUUUAUGAUUAUUGCUUAAAACUUUACACCUUCUUUGUUAUAUUAACUAAAGAUCUGUAUAUUUUUGUUUUAUUCAAAAUAUUUAUUUUGGUAAAUUAGUUUUUUGUAAAAAAAAACAGGGGGGGGGUUCACAUGUCCCACGUGUUCUAACAAUAUUGGUAUUGCUUAAAACUUUCUCAGAAACUAUUUAUGAUUAUUGCAAAGACUUCCACAUAAGCGUGGGGGCUAUCAUGGCUCAUGGGGCGCAGCUGUUUAUUGUCUUAGGUCACACAUAAAAGGUGUGAUUUGAGAUUUAUCUGCCGUAAGAUAUUAUUCAUAGCCUAUCUUAUGUCUUGGUUUACAAUAUUUUGCAAUUUGAGAUAUUAUACUGUGAUUUGAGAAUUGUAUAAACACAUAUCAAUGAAAUGGCAUGAAUUGAGGACAACAAGGACAAGAACAUUGAAAAGGCAUAAACUGAAUCACUUUGGUAUAUGGAGAAAUCCAUAGCUGAAAACACUUAAUCAGAGGACAGCUCAGAGAUCUCUAUUUAACAAUUGUACUAAGAAUUUUUAGCAGAUGGGAAAUCUAAUGCUCAAAGAACAGCUGAGAUUGACCCCAAUAUAAAACAGAGCGAAGCGCAAAUUGAUAAAUAAAGGCAACAGUAGUAUAACGCUGUUCAAAACUCAUAAAUCCAUGAACAAAAAACAAAAUCGGGUUAACAAACUAAAACCGAGAGAAACGCAUUAAAUAUAAGAGGAGAACAACGACACAACACUAAAAUUAACCACACAGAAACGGACAAGCUCAGACAAUACACGAGAAUAACAAUAUAACUUCAAACACAAUACAUGAUUUGGGAUAGAAAGUACUGACACGUCUUAUGAAUGUGAAUACACUCAAAAAUAAGGAAAACAAACGAGCAGUUUAAAUUAAGACACACAGAAACGAACAAUAAUAUAACAUGGCCAAUUCUGAAUUGGUACAGGACAUUUUAAGGAAAAAUGGUGGUUGAACCUGGUUUGUGGCAUGCCAACCUCGCCUUUAAUGGCAUGUAAAAUAUAUAAUUGAAAUGACAACAUAAUAUUACAGGACUACAAUACAAAUAAAUAGGAGAACGUAUUAGACAAAGAAGCACAUGAUUAAUAGAUAACAAAAAGCAUCAGGUUUACAAUUCAAUACGCCAAAAACGUGCCUCGUCCACACAAAAAUAUGUGUUGGUCUCAUAACGAUGCAAGCUGGACAGAAAGGGGCAAUGAAUACUGAUAAUGAACAGUUGGGGGCAAUUUCAGCAGUCUGAACACAGGAUAGACCACAAGGCUAGUGAUAAGCGCUUGGUGGAAUUGACAGUGAGAACAAUGAGAUAUUCAAUGAUGUGGUGAUAAGCCAACAUUUGACCUGAUCCAGUACGACACAAUUACAUCAAAAGUACAUAUUAACAAACUCCAAGCCUUGGGUCUUUUCCCAAUUAGUUAACAUAAACUAUCAACUGCACCAACUCUGUUGAAGGCAAAUUUGGUGUCUUAACAUAUAGUCAGAAGUCCUAUGUCAGGGCCCUUCGCCCUUCAUGAGACAGUUCAAUAUAUUCAACAACAACCUCCAUUUAAGAACAGAAACAUCUAGUACUGAUCAAGGAUACCAGCAAAUGGCUUAUGUGUCUUCUUACGCACACGUACAACUUACUAUAAGUCAAUCAUAUUUCAUUCAGAGCAGAGCAGCACACCAUUACAGAAACAAUUGACUGCAAGUGGAUCUAUCAAGUUUCUCCAAUGCUGACUUCAGUGCCUACUAACAGUACCAUCCCUGUCGAGUCCUUUGGAAAAUGAGGUGCGUCACCUCACUCAAAUUGUCAUUUAACUAGCUGGUGUUAUGCUUUAAACUUGUCAGCGAAACCGUGGAUUGGCCAAUCAAUAUUACCUUGGGCCUUCUGAUCAAUAUAAUCGUUGAAGAUCAACAGAUCAGUGGAAGAUCACCUGAUCAAUAUACACGUGGAAGAACGCCAGGUAGAAAUACAUCCAAGUUUAAUGCCUAUCGACCAGCAACACCCCCCACCAAGCCAGAGAUGAUAUAGUCCCUGAGAACAAGGGCCAGCAUCUCCACGGACAAACUCUAGAAAUCUCGGUUAUUUCAGGCAAUGGUCACCUUCACCAGGAUACAGAGCAAAUCAAAACACACACCCAACAAGGGAGUCUUUAAACAGCAACAGGUCGGGCCAGUAGGCCAACGCUCGACUUCCAAGUCAUUUUGCCUUGAAACACCAUCUCAUUACAAAACCGAACAUAAGCCCACGUCUUCGUCCGAUAUUGUCCUCAGACGAACCAUUGGAAAAAGCCUAGCAGUACCAGGUAUUAUAUAUGAUCAGAAUGUGAGCUUGAAUGUGGCAACUGUUGCAAUGUUAAUUUCCAGCAGAUAUUGAGACAAUGUUAUACUUGGGCUAGAUAUUUUGGGCACACUGGGCGCAGUGAUAAAUCUGAGUGCUCCCAUGCUUUUUAUCAACAACAAAGUGAUAAAUGUGGCAUUUGUUAACAGUGGAGGUGAGAUCUCAACUCAGCAAGUUUGCAUAAAACGAACAAUCGCAGUUCUGCCAAACUCUGAAAUUAUUAUUACCAUUAAAACUAAUAAAAGUGCUGACUAGGAGUUCAUUUAAGAACCAUGCCCGCUGACGAGUUGGAAAAGGAAAUAGUUAUCCCUUAACCAUUUUAAAUGAGGGCAAUCGUCACAUCCGCCUGAAGAAAGGUACAUCUAUAUUGGUUACAUAGAAUGAUUUGACGAUAUAAUGAGUACGGCAGACGAAAAUCCUAUAAGUGACGUAAGACGUGGCAUUAAAGAGACAUGAGACAGUGUGCCCUCGGCACUGCCUCAAAGUUCUAGUAAGUUACCUAAUAUGCCACCACAUUUAACCAACCUAUACCAACGUUCAAUCGACUCACUUCGACCUAUUUCAUUCCAACCAUUAACGUAACUGCAAUUACGAUCAUCCCAAUAUGGCGGACGCAAAUUUAAGUAAAUUUUAUAUUGCCAAUUUCUCCAACUUACUUUCAGGUUUGUAUUAUGUCUGGAAACAUCUUUAUAAGCAUUGCCAUUGAAAUAUUUUUCAUACAUGAUGGAAAAGCAACAAGAAGAAUGAAAAUCGAGAUACAAAUGAUGAUCGUAACUUUUAUUUAUUUAAUUUUUAUCAACGAUGAUCGUAAUUUUUAUUUAAGAUGAUCGUAACUGUUUGUUCCAACAAAGCAUUUUCUGAUAAACAAAACUUUCUGGUAUGUGGAAAGUGUACAUUAUUAUUUAUAUGCUUAUUUGUGAUAAUAAUGAGAACGUCACUAAGGGAGGGUAAUGUGCAAUUGGUAAGUGCACAAGUGGUUAUGAUUUCCGAUUUCAUUCCUUUUAUCAAGUUCAGUAUUGAAACGCAUUGGUGGUUAACAACUUAUAUUGAUGAAAAAUUUUGUCCUGCAUUUUUUUAAGUUGAAAUAUCUAUCCUGCGUUUUUAUUUUUCACUCUAUACUGUCCUGAUUUUUUUUACCUCACUUGUCAUCCUGCCCUUUUGAUUGGCCAAGUUGUUCAUCUGACCUAUGUUUUACUCAAAACUCCUGCCUUUUUCCUCCAUAUUUUACCCCUCCCUUUAAAAAUCAAAUGGUAGCUCCCUUAUCGAUAAGUUUGGUAAACAACUUCUUCGACUAACUUCAAUAAUACAUGUCAAAUACCGUAAGUGUUAGGAUUUUAAUAUAGCUUGAAAAAAACAGGGAAUCUAAUAUGAACUUGUUUACCAUCUAUUUCAGCUUUUCCUUCUUUAAAUAAAUAGCCAACCCAUGGUAAAUAUAGAUAACAGUAGUCCAGUGGCAGAUCCAGAGACUUUUAUUAAGGAGGUGGGGACUGGCUGCCUAAGAGUAGUCCUGCUACAGUCAUGCUUCCUUGAUUCCCUAUAUAAUCAACCACAUUUUUCACACAAAAAGGGGAUGCACGCACCCUGGCCCUCCCUCUAAACCUGUCUCUGUAGUCUACCAACAUUUAAUGGUCAAAGUUUGAUAAAGAAAAUAUAAGACUAGGCAACAAGUAAAAACACAUGAAAACAAUUCCAUUUGAAAUGUUAAUUAAAUAACUAAAAAGAAAAAAAAUAUUGAGGACAUUUGCAUAUAAGCCUGCUAAUUUAACCUAAUGUCAUUUCUUUUUGACAAAUAUAGCGGUGUUCAUUAAUGCUCAUUUUGUUUACUUUUAAAAUCAUACUAUUUUCAGUAAUACCAAUAUAUCUUGACUGAUAAAUUUGAUAUUCAUUUAAAGAAAAAACACAUUGUAAAUUUCGAGAUACAAUCAUCUUUAAAUAAAAGCAAGUCCAAGUUACGAUCAUCCAUAGACGAAGUUACGAUCAUCAUCGUGUUUUUUUAAUCUCAAUUUUCGUUCUUCUGGUUGUUUUUCUAUCAUUUAGGAAAAACUCAUUCAAUGGCAAUGCUGAUUAAGAACUUUCUUGAUAUAAAACAAAUCUGAAAAUAAGCUGUUAAAGUAGAGAAAUUGACUUUCUAAAAUUUCCCUAAAUUUGUGUCUGUCAUAUUGGGAUGAUCGUAAUUGCAGUUACGAUCAUCACGUUGACACCAGUCAAUAAUAAGAAUGAAAUUUAAAAAACGAUGUUGGGAAAUGUCACUCCGUGUUGAUGUAAUGUGGUAAAUCACACUGAUAUCAAACAAUAAGAUUAAUAGGUUUAUGCAGUGGACUUAAUUGUUUUAUAAUAAUGAACCAGAAAGAAUUUUUAGCAAAGCUCAAAUUGACCUUGACCUCAAUUUUUGAGGUCAUAGGUCAUUGAUCUCAAAUCAAAAGACCACAGGUCAAUCACUUGUAUGGUUGUGGAGAAAUACUGAUUUUAAAUACAUAAGCCGUAAGGAGAGAAAGCUCCUAUAACUCUUCGACUUAAAAAUAGGUUGAAGUUGCGCCUUAUUGUAAACAGUUACUUGGCAAACACAUCAUAUCAUUUACUGUAACAGUUUCUUUUGAAUAACGAUAACAAGUAAAAUUCAAAAUUUAUAACAUGACCUUGACCUUUGACCUUGACCUCAAUUUCCUUCAAAUGGAACAAGGACUUCAUAGAAAAAAAUUGUAGACCUCUCCGACUUAUAACCCAUGAAUUGAUUCAACAUAUCGCCUAUCUUAAAUUUUCAAAGGGAAAUAACUCCCAUAAUGUGUCUUCCAUCACUCCAUCAAAUUAAACAAUCAAUGGAGCAAACAAUUUGGUGAAAACAUUUGUUAAAAUCUUUUAUGGUUUUAGAGAUAUAGCGAUUUCAAGAAAAAGGGGAUGCGCGGAGAUAACUCCUAUAAGAAUAAGUGUUCGGUCACACAGGGUGAGUUUUGAAACCCCUAUUACUGUACAAAUCAUUGGCCAAAAAUCCAUUCGAUAUGUUGUAAGACAAAAAAGCAUCUCAGACGGAAGAAGAAAAGAAAAUAAUCAGAAGAAAAACAAAAGGUCUUUCCACGAAACAAUAACAUGUUACAUAUUGAUUAACAUUUUGAUUUUCACUAUUGUUUUUUGUAUAUGCAGCAUUUUUUCAAAUGUUUGGGUUCUAGAAAUAACCAAACUAUUUUAUUUAUAUUUUAAAUUUAAGUGAUAACAAAUUGAAUUUUUCUGAGUGGCCCAUAGCUGAAAUCAAAGGGUAUACAACCAAGAACUACUGUGCAAAGUCUCAUGCUUUCCUCAUUGAGUGAGCAGUUCUGCUCUACAUCUGCACCAAUCCGGACCACUAAUUAUAAGUUUUUUAUUUUUUUUAUGCAGUUAUAUAAACAUAGGGAAAUCUCAUUUCCUUGGAGAAUAUUUGGCAUGUCGCCUCAGUUAUGGUCUUAUGACUUUGAAAAUUUUGCACAGUCUGUUAAAGUUUGCAAUAAGGUCAGUUUAUAGGAUAGUUUUGCGCUAUAGCACAGUAUCUUCAAUUGCUCAGUACUGUUCAAUAACACAAUAGCAAGUAAUCUUAAAUUGCAAAGAAUUGCACUAUUGCAAGAAAUAUCCCAUUGCACAUUAUUGCACAAUUAGCGCAAUACUGCCCAAUAGCAAGAAAUUUCCAAUUGCAUAGUAUUAAUUGUGCAAUAGCAAGAAAUCUCCAAUUGCACAGUAUUGCACAAUAGAAAGAAAUGUCCAAUUGCACAGUAUUGCGCAAAAGCAAGAAAUAUACAAUUGUACAGUAUUGCACAAUAGCAAGAAAUCAUCAAUUGAAAUUUAUUACAAAUAUUUCAACCCAUUUCAAAUUAUAAGAUCUUUUACAAUGUUUAUUUUGUGUCAGAAACCUACAAUAUGAUUUGAUUACAAUCCAAAUCCAGACAGUAUCAAUAUUGUGUCCAAACUUGCACCAACUGUUCAAUGAAAUAACAUGUAAAAUAAAUUUCUUACUAGUUGACAAUCUUAAUCUGGAGUGAACCUUAAGGGUAAUUAUAUAUUACAGUUUUAUAUUCAUCACUUCCAACUAAAGAAAUCAGUAAGUAUUGGUCAAACCCAAAAUUGUUUUCUAAAUAGGCAUUUAUGCUUUACAUGUGCUACAAGACAAGAUUGAAGAAAAUAAAUAUGUUUCAUCUUACCAUUGUAACAACUCUUCUGCAUGUAUUUAGUGCUUAGAACUUUAUAUGUUCUCUUGAUUGCAGCCAUGUAAUGUUUAUUAUAUUUGUAAACUGAAAAAAUAAUACUAAUCCAGCACUAAAGAGCAGUUUGUUUUGCCUUCACCUACCACAUCAUUUUCUAAUAAGUAUGGUUUUUGAUUGAAGUAAAAAUGGACAACGUGACCAUUUUACCUCAUUCACACUAUAUAGAUUUUAAUAUAAAAAAGAAGAUGUGGUAUGAUUGCCAAUGAGACAAUUGUCCACAAGAUUAUAAAAUGACACAGACAUUAACAACUAUAGGUCACUGUAUGGCCUUCAACAAUGAGAAGAGCCCAUACCGCAUAGUCAUUACUUAGUCCUCUAUUAAAUUGUCUCCAUGCCCCAAUAUUGCAUUAAGUGUUUCCCUAUAUUUUCUGUCUGUCUUUCCAUCUUUUAUGAAACUGGUACACAAUGCACACAGAAUUCCCAAUUUGGCAGUGUUUCACCUACGGUUCUAGAAUUAAGCUCCUUUAUAUCUUGGUAAAUUGCUUUUUUUUACGUAUCGACUUUCUAAAUAAUGUUUGUCUAAUUUAAAAUGUAUGAAACUCAUACACAAUGCUAAGAACCAAAUCUCACAGAGCUGGUAUUGGGUAGUAAUAGUACUGCAACUGACAUCUAAAAAGACGCUUAGUUAACGAGUUUAAUGGUGCGGAAUGACACACGGCUGCAAAUUGUUUUAAAUGAUAAUAAUAUCUAUAUUUUAUUUCCGUCGGGUCGUAAAGUUUCUAUGGUCACAAUUUUUUGUGUUUUAUCCCUUUAAUGGGGGUACCCCACAAUUUACGGUUUGGGUAGUUACCUUAAAUAUAUUUUUUGGUUAAUUUCUCGCUAUUUUCAUAAAUAUUUUCUAUGCACAUUAUCAAGGAUCAUUCGGAAUGAUGAAGACAUAAAUAUUACCAUCUCCAAGUAAAACUUUCAAACUUAAAGAUAGCUGUUUUUUAGGUGAAAUUUAACGCGUUUUUCUUUGAAAACGAGAAAACAUAUGAUUCAAAGUAGUAUUGACAUUUGAGAGACAAAACAUAUUAUUGGAUACUGCAUGCAAAUUUUGUUGGGAAUUCCAAAAUUUUGUCAAAACUCAAAAUAAAAACAUCAUUUGUACCUUUUUUAAUUACGGAAAUUUCCUAUCCGUCAAUCAGCUCCACCAUUUAUUUUUUUCCUCAAUUUGAUAGUUUCGAUGUGAUUAUGUAGAUUUUGUAGGGAUUAAUUUAUUUUUGAGUGAUUUGAAUAUAUAUAGUAUUCUUUCGGUAUUUUCUGUAAAGUUAUAUUUUGUUAAUAAAAUUUUGACUUUAUAUAAAAGUUAACCAAAUCCGGGUUACACUAAAGACCUGAAAGUGGACCUGAAAAGACCUGAAAAUAUACGACUAAAAUUAUUUAAAUUGCAAUAACUUUUUUUAUUUUUGAAUCAAAUUUCUUCAAGUUGGAAUUUUAUUAAUUGUAAAUAUUCAUAUUUCAUUAAAAUUCAAAUGUUUUAAAUCAAAAACAAGUUUUUAAUGUAAAAAGUUGGACCUGAACGGAGAAAUGAAAAGACCUGAAGGGACCUGAAAAUCUAUGGUCGGACUAAUUUUAACUUUAAUAACUUUUAUAAAAUUCAGUGGAUAUCUUUCAACUUUAGAUUUUGUGAAACAAAAAAUUCAAUAUAAUGAUAAUAUAAAUAAAAAAAUAUAUGAAAAAUAUGGCUGGGAUGUCAAAACUCGGACCUGAACGGAAAAUUAAAAAUCUGAAUGAUCCUAAAAUUCCGCUAAUAUUUUUUUAAAACGAAAAUAAUAAACAUAGACGAAACAUGUUGUUGUUAACUUUUCGUGUUCGAUGUCAUUUGGUAUCUUGUGCAGAUCUGUCUCAUUGGGAUCACACCCCAUCGUCUUUGUAAUUUUUAUUGAAGGAAGAUACUAAUAUGAUAGUUCGUGUAACAAGAUAUAACGUUAGUGAUAAUUAUAAAAACUAUAUUAAACCCCAAAUAAACUCCUACUACAACAACCCGUUGAUGGAUAAGUUGAGAUCUAUAAUAGAUUAUAAAAGUAAAUUAUUUUUUUAUAACUGACUUGGUCCAAAUAUGGUCUUCAUUUGUUUUUGUUGUUGUUAUAUGUCACAAACUGUAAAGUUUAUAUGGCAAAAAAACUUUGAAUUAAAUUGAAUUGAUAAUCCAAUUAAAAGAUUAAAGUAAACUGUUUAUUUAGACUAAUGAUCCAAUUAUCACCUAAUAUCAAUACAAGGUGUGAAUUACAACCGUCACACGUUCAUGUAAUUAAAACUGACAUUCCAAUCGACGAACACGCGUCUUUAAAUAAGAUAUGGUUUAUGGGGAAGCAAUACUAUUAUUUAUUUUUUUCAUUUUUAGGUUUAAGACCUGCUUUAAUAUAUAUUAAUGAAAUUUAAGCAAGUUGAAUUAGUUUGAAUAAUUUCAACGGGCAAUUAACUGAUCCUUUCAUCAUCAAGACAGCAAGGUUAUUUGUAUUCAUUUAUUUUCCUGUAUUAAUAUAAAGUCAUUCGUUCUCUUCAAUAUACUUUUGUCUAAAAUAAAAAAAACAAAUAUAAAAAAAUAAUUUGUGCGAGUUUAAAUACAUCUUCCCCAAUGUUUAACCUCAGAGCAAUUAAUAAUGCAUGCAAGUGGUCGGGGGAAAAGUACUAUUGAAGAUUCGCAGAGAUUUGGUGUGUGACAAGGUGAUGGUAAAACCAACUUCUCUUAAUAUUCUGCUUUCCGUGGGCGAAUCAUCAGUGAUGUUAUGAGACUUGCACCAGAAGGCAAAAUUGGUGCGUCUUUAAAUUAGAUUGAUUGAUUGAUUGUUGGUUGCUUAACGUCCAGUGACAAUAUUUCAUGCAUGUUCAGGACGAGAAAAGUUUAACAAUAAAAACAAUAGGUGGUUUUUAUCAUAAUAGAGGCCAUUCGGGAUGAUGAUCGAAAAAUUUAGACUGCACUGGAAAAUGAUGGUAUAUUGGAUUGGGACAGAAAUUUUCCAUUGCAACAGGCCACCUUCGGACUCCUCAAAGAGUUGAUGCAAGGGUUUUAACAUGCAAAGAAUGUGACACUCCCUUUACACGAGGCAUCGGACUUAACGUCCCCAUUCUGACCGGACGUGACUGGGAACUUGAUACAUGUGCAAUUAAGUAAAACAGUUACUGAAAAAUUAGAAUUUGAACUUGCUGUCAGUUCAUUAAUAACGAUUGUUAGUGAUGUGAUUUGUUCUUCCGUAAGAAAAGGCUUUCUCAUGUAACACAUCCUCUAUAUAUACCGAUCAAUUUUACACAGUGGGGCCAAGGGAUAUGAAAUAAAGAGUUUAGCUCUGAACUCAAUUUAGGGGAUGCCAUAUCUGCUGCAGGAAAAUUGAAGUCUAUGUUAAGACUUUCAGAAUUACACCAAGGUGUGUCUGAAAAUAUUAAGGAUACAUUAAAAGAAGAACAACUACUUCACCCUGCCACCAGUGCUCUUAUGAGCUAUGUCCUCGUUUUGGUAUUUCUAUGGAAAUGCAUAGCUUUUUAAUAGAUAUCGGAAGAUGUGGUAUGAGUGCCAAUGAUACAACACACCAUCCAAGUCACAAUUUAUAAAAGUAAACCAUUAUAGGUCACGAUCCGGUCUUCAAGACGGAGCCUAGGCUCAAAAGUUCAUUUGUUAGUUAAUUGAUAAAAAUAACACAAAGGCGCUUCUGAACCGUAUCUUGUCCCUAAAGAUAACAAAAAUUCGUAAAUGGAUGGCUAUUACAAAAUCAAUCGUUUCUGUAGCAACAUUCGCCCCAUUACAUUUUGGAUUGGCAGCGCAGAUACAUCAUGCAUAUGCAUAUGGGAAUAUGGGUCACUAACAUUGAUCGAAACUUUGUACUCACAUUUCUUUUGUGUUUCCUAUGCAAAGGUAAGACUAUAUCUGACGAGUUUGACCGAAUCAUGACGGUAUUUACGCUCCAGAUAGCAUUUGUACUCAAAACUGUGUUUGCUUUGAACAAACUCUGUCCUACGCCGAACUUGUUCUUAUAAAAAAGGGAAGUGUCUUGUAAUGCUAAUGUACGCGUACUGAAUCCGCAUAUGAUGACUAAGAGAUUGAUUCAUGUCCCUAUUUUAUGAAUACUUGAGCUAUUGUGUGUCACUUUUAAAAGUUAUAUAAGGACCAUGACUGAUUUUGAAUUACAACAUUAGAAAAUUGGCAUUGCAUUGUAUAUUUUUUCAUCCUUCCCUUAAAAAAUUAAUGAGUUAACUUUUUUACCAGGAUUAUCCCACUUAAAAAAAUGUUCAUGCACCAAACUGACUUUGUUUUGCACUAUUUUUUUAAACCUCGCAUUCGCCUCGUGUGACUAUAGUAUAUUUGUGUUUAACUGCCCUGUCUAGACUUUUCAAAUACACAAUUUGUGUUUAUCUAUAACUAGAUACUAAUUUUCACAAAAUACACAACCUUUAAGAUGCAAAAUUAAAAACACUGUUUCAGCGCUUAAAUUUAGUUUUUUUCAAAGAUAGAAAAAAUAUUGAAAUAAUUGUGUUUUAUACUUUAGAAAAUAAUUUUGUAAUAUACUAUAGUGAAAUACUAUACACAAUAUGAAAGUUUAUGGAUGUGGAAAGGUCAAGGCCACUUCUUCUUUUGCUAUGUCUUAAAUGGAAAAAAAUCAGAAGGUUCCAAAUCAACGCCAUUUUUUAAUGGCAGCUUUUCAUAUAAGUAGUCAAAUUUGUCGUUUUAACAUCGUUUAUACCAUAUGCUUAUGAUUGAAUCGUUUUUGUAGCAUUCUAUUGAAUAAAUAUCAGAAUAUUUCUCCUUUUUGUCCUUGUGGUUGAAAUGUUGAUAUUUUUAGGUCUGACCUUUGACCUCAAUUUCACAAAAUUGUGACCACUCUGGAUUUUUACGACCCAACUUUUCUUAUUAUACACGUUUUCCUCUUUCCAUCGAUAUAUAAUUUAGGUGUGUGUUCUUCCGGACCAUUAAAGUUUUAAAAAAUGAACUCUGGUUGCAGUACUAUAAGUCACAUACUGUUCUAGAGUUGUUCCCUUAAGGCUUUUUUAACUUGGAGAAUGGAAUUGAGUUUUGUUUUCCGCACUCUAACUGAAUAGUUUGACUCAUUUAAAGUUUAUGAAACCAUGAUCAUGUUUUUCAUUCAGGGCAAUGUGAUUUUCAUUUAACUACUAUUAAGGUCAUCAAUGCUCAGUUUAAAUAAGCAAGUAAAUUUAACCCAGGGAUUAAUACAUAUCUCGAGCUGCAAAACUUGUACUUAAUUGUUUAUUUCACAUUCAUACUUGUCCUAAAGACACACCAUUGACCACCAUUAUUUUGCAAACAUUUAUGAGUGUUGUUGUCUUAAAUGGUGAUAUAUUCCCAGGGGCGGAUUUAGGCCGGGGAGUGGUGGGCGUGCGCCCCCUAAAAUUUGCAAAGCGUGGGUUGUCCUCAGCAUAACAAAAUAUUUGUUUAGACGACAAAAAUUAAUGUCGUCGCAUUCCAUCUGUUUUAAUAUUCAAACAGUAUUAUUAAAGUUUAACAGAAUCAGGAACAUAUAUAUUGAGAUAAACUGUUCCCAGACAGAAUCAAUUUGAUUACUAAAGUAUUAUAAAUAUAAUAUACUUCAAAGGAAGGUGUCAAAUGCGGUCUAGCAGUGUUUGAUGGCAAAUAUCAUAGGCUUUUAGCAGUUAAAGUAAAACAAUAGACCACUUUCGAGAUCAUCCGUCACCGGAAAAAAACUCGUCAAUUAUACGCGCCUUUGUGACGUCAUUUACCAGAUAGAGGGGCUCGCCUGUAUUCCUGCACUAUAAACAUUCAUCAAGCGUCGUAGUGAUCGUCAUUUUGCAGGAUAAAACUAGAAAUAAGGUUUGUUCAGUAGGUACUUAAUCACAAUUCCCUAAUGACAGCGAUGCAGAUUGUUCAUUAUGAUAAUUUAAUUUGCCAAAUAAUUCGUGCAAUAUAGCUUGAUAGAUUUUCAACCACUCGCUCAACAUUGAAACAAAAGUCACAACGCACCUAAACGCACUAGUGACAUCACAGGCACUUGUUUCUGUCCAUUGGAAGACCCACUAUCAACGUAUAUUUAUCGUAGUUUAUAAUCAAUUUCUUUGGUAAUCGAAGUUCCAAAACAUCCCUAACUCACUUUCCCAAGAAGUAGAUGAAAGCGCCAUGCUCACGGUCUGAUUGGUUAUUUCAUCAUGGCACGGCCCAAAAACAGUCUAGGUUAGAUUUUGUCUUAAUGAAAGAUGGAAAUACUGGUACAAGCGAAAUAGUCCGGCCGAUCGGUGAAAAAAUUGCUCAAAUAAUGAGGAAAGCACCAAAUUCUGCAUGAUGUUACAUGUUGGUGUACUGAUCAAUAUUAGCUAUGGACCCACCCUCAAAAUUCAAUAUGACGGCUAAUUUCAAGAUGGCCGCCAUAUAUUCUAAAAUAAUUUCAAUUGUUGCACAAACCACAGUGGAUUUGAUGCUGGAAGCUCAAAAUUCUACAAAUUUUAAUGAUUCGGCGUACUGAGCAAUAUAAGCUAUGGACCCUACCUCAAAUUUCAAUAUGGCGGCUUAUUUCAAGAUGGCCGCCAUAUAUUCUAAAAUAUUUUCCAGUAUUGCACAAACUACAGUGGAUUUGAUGCUGGAAGCACAAAAUUCAACAUAUUUUAAUGAUUUGGUGUACUUAGCAAGAUUUUAUUUUAAUCUAUCUUUGAAAUUUAAAAUGACGGCUAUUUUCAAAAUGGCCGCCUAGAAAAAAAUGCAAAUAUUCAUUAUUGAGAAUUGACCUGAGUUUAAUCAUUUCAUUAAAGUAUAGUGUUAUUCAAUCUCUGUUACAGUUCUGUCCUUUUGAUUUUCCCUGGCUGGUCAUUUCCUAUACAAAGUAGUAGCUUUCAUAAACAGCAGCAGUAGUAGCUUUCAUUAAAAGCUGCAUGUUUGUUUUGUCUUACUUAGGUCAUACAUAAAAGCUGUGAUUUGAGAUCUAUCUGCCGAAAGAUAUUAUUCAUUGCCUAUCUUAUUUCUUGGUUUGCAAUAUUUUGCAAUUUGAAAUAUUAUACUGUGAUUUGGGAAUUGUAUAACAACAAAUCAGUGAAAUGGCAGGAAUUGAGAACAAGAAGGACACAAAUAUUGAAUUGGCAGAAACAGAAUCACUUGGGGAUAUGGAGAAAUCCAAAGCUUAAGACACUUUCACAGAUGACAACUAUAUUUAACAAUUGUACAAAGAAUUUUUAGCAGAUAGGAAAUCUAUUGCUUAAAGAACAGCUGAGAUUAACCGCAAUAUAAAACAGAGCGAAUCAUGAAUUGAUAGAAUAUGUUAUGGUCUCAUAACGAAGCAAGCUGAACAGAGAGGCAAUAUAUAUUAAUAAUGAACAGAUGGGAGCAAUAUAUCAGCAACUUCAGCAGUCUGAACAGAUGAUAGACCACAAGGCUUGUAGUAAGCGCUUGGCGGAAUUGACGGUCAAAACAAUGAGAAAUUCAAUGAUGUGGUGAGACGGAUGGAUGAGCUGACAACAACUGAGGAAGGAGACACAGUUCAAUUUAAAAGUGCAUUUGAACAGCAGGAUACUUUCAAAAAAAUGGCAUCUGUUGUAAGUGAAGUAUUGGAGAAGCGAAAUAAAGAAGAAAAAAGUUACUGCAAUGGGCACAUCAUCUAAGCCAAAAUUCGACCUUUAAGCCGGUACAACACAAGUACACCAAAAGUAUAUAACAAACUUCUUGCCUUAGAUCUUUCCCCAAUAAUUCACAUGAGCCAUCAACCGCACAAACUCUGUUGAAUGCAAAUAUGGUGUCUUCAACUAAAGUCGAUAGUCCUAUUGCAGGGCCCUUUGCCCUGAUGAGACAGUUCAAAUCAUUCAACAACAACCUCCAUUUAAGAACAGAAACCUCUAGUACUGAUAAAGGAUACCAUCAAAAGGUUUAUGUCUUCUUACGGACACUUACAACCUAGAUAUAGGAAGAUGUGGUGUGAGUGCCAAUGAGACAACUCUCCAUACAAAUAACAAUUUAAAAAGUAAACCAUUAUAGGUUAAAGUACGGCCUUCAACACGGAGCCUUGGCUCACACCGAACAACUAUAAAUCAAUCAUAUGUGGUUCAGAGCUGAACACCAUUACAGAAACAAUUGGCUGCAAGUUGAUCUAUCAAGUUUCUUCCAUGCUGACUGCAGUGCCUACUAACGGUAUCAUCUCUGUCGAGUCAAUGACAAAUCCUCCUCCUCCCACAUUUAUUACUCCAAUUAUGACAACAUCAUCAGCUUCUGGAGCUCUACAGGCUUGCCACAACGUUACAGUAAGCUGACUCCACUGACCAAUCUAGGAAAGGCCAAAGGAAACUAAUGGAGAGUGGCAUCAGCUCUUCUUCAGACUCCUUUUUGGAGAGAGAAUAUACACGAUGGCAAGUACAUUCUGGUGCAAAGAACCGGAUUCGCGCUGUUUUUUCCCAUAGCAUUGAAAUUAAAAUUGAUUUAUAAAAGAAAAAACAUUCAGACCAGGUUGGAAGCAACGCAUUCCUUCUAAAGAUAAAGAUUCUGCAAGGCAUGUAAAAGAGAGGAACGUAGAAACGAUCAACAAGGCGUUUAAACAAUUGAAAACCUCAAUAUCCAACCAGAUAGCGAUAUAUGGACCAAAACAGUCAAUUAUGCCCAUCGGCAAGUCUUCUCUGCUGAUGGAGUAGUAUCACCGACCGAUAAAGGGAAUAUGAGCAGUGCUUUGGAAAAUGGUUCGUAACCUCACUCAAAUUGUCACAAAACUAGCUGGUGUUAUGCUUUCAACUAAUCAGCGUAACAGUGGAUUGGCCGAUCAAUAUAACCUUGGGCCUUCUGAUCAAUAUAAUAGUGGAAGAUAACCAUAUCAAAGGAAGAUCAUCUGAUAAAUAGAGACAAGUUGAAGAGCCCAUAUCCAUAUAAUCGCAGUAGAUCGCCAGAUAAAUUCAAGUGUAAUGCAUAUCGACCAGAAACAACCAUACCAAACCAAAGAUGAUAUAGUCCAUAAGGACAACGUUUAGCAUCUCCACGGAAAAACUCCAGAAAUCGCAGUUAUUUCAGGCAACAGCCACCUUCAACCCAACAACGGAAUCUUUAAACAACAACGGGUCGGACCAGUAGGCCAACGCUCGAUUCCAAAGUCUAUUUGCCAUGAAAUAUCACCUCAUGACAAAACCGAACAAAGGCCCACGUCUUCUUCCGAUAUUGUCAUCAAGACUAACCAUUAUAAAUAGCCUAGCAAUACGAGAUAUUAUAUGUGACCAGAAUGUGAGCAUAAAUGUGGACACUGUUGCAAUAAUAACAUUACUGAAUGAGAAUUUUUUCUUAGACAUUGAAGAUAUGGAGACCGUAACGAGAUUUGGUUGAACAGCUGGUUUUUGGGAAGAUUUAAAAGAACAACCUCUCUAGACAUUGAUAGAAAAAAAAUAAAAUGGGAUGUAUGCAAAGCGCCCUUAACAGACAAUGAUAUACUUGGGCUAGAUAUUUUGGACACACUGGGCGCAGUGAUAAAUCUGAGUACUCCCACACUUACCAUCAACAACAAAGUGAAACAUGCGGCAUUUGUUAACAGUGGAGGUGAUAUUUCAACUCAGCAAAUUUGCAUGAAACAAACAAUCACAGUUCCGCCAAACUCUGAAAUGACUAUUAUCAUUCAGUAAAACUAAUAAAAGUGCUAACCAGGAGUUCGUCUAAUAACCAUGCCCGCUGACUAGUUGGAAAAAAAAAUUGUUGUCCCUUAUUUAUUUUAAAUGAUGGCAACUGUCACAUCCGCCUGAAGAAAGCUACACCUAUAGAUAUUGGUUUCAUAGAAUAAUUUGACGAUAUAGUGGGCACGACAGAUGAAACCUGAUAAGUGACGUAAGAUGUGGCAUUGACGAGACACUAAACAAGAUGCCCUCGGCACUGCCUCAAAGUUCAGAUAAGUUACCUAAUAUGCCACAUUUAACCGACCUAUAUAUCAAUGUUCAAUCGACUCACUUCAACCUAUUUCAUUCCAACCAUUAAAACUGAAAGCGAUGAAAGAACAUUUACAAUAACAUCUUACAUAUUGAUUAUCAAUUUGAUUUUCAUUAUUAUUUUUUUUUUGUAUAUAUAUGCAGCCAUAUUUGCAAAUGUAUGCGUUCUAGAAAUAACCAAACUAUUUUAUUUAUAUUUAAAAAUUAAUUGAUAACAAAUUCAAUAAGAACUUGAAGACCAUUUUUUAAGGAUCAUUACUUUAAUUUUCGAAAUUAUUUAAAAUACCUUGCGGACAAUCUUAAUAUUUAUAACGUUUUUCCGCCAUCUUGAAAAUGGCAGCCAUAUUAGAUUUUUCUGAGUGGGUCCAUAGCUAAAAUCAAAUGGUAUACUACCAAGAACUACUGUGCAAAGUUUCAUGCUUUCCUCAUCAAGUGAGCAAUUCUGCUCUAUAUCUGCACCAAUCGGCCGGACUAAAAGCUUAGUUUAUUAAUGUGUAUCAUUAAUCAAUAUAUAUGUGUCAAUAUAUGUUUCUCACUUGUAACCUAUAAAUUUUGCCGAGGCAUGAGGUUGGUGCGUGGAUUAGAGUUCCGGGGAGAAAAUUUUAAUGACUGAAUUUUCGGCUCUCCCUUGACAGUCACACCAUUUCAAAGUAUGGUCUUGAGAAACAAUGAUAGUUAGUCUGAAGCGGACGACAAUGGCUGACCUAUAUAUGUUAAGAGAGAACGCUAUCUCUUGCACGUAAAACCCUUGCAGAUUUUGAUAAAGAGCAGGCUAGUAUGACGCUACACCCGCAUACGGCGCAUAGGAAUUGAUAUAAGUUAUAAUAACUUGUUUCCCAAUCCACUAUAAAUAAACCUGUUUAAACUAAACGUUCAAGACCCCAACCCCCGAAUAUAUUUGAUUGACUAAUAGUAAUACAACACCAGUAAUCCAGCAACCAUUGACAUAAAAUUCGCUUGAUUUUAUUUUUAUGUAGGGUCAGCUUGUGUCCGCAAGAUUAUCUCUAUAUAGUAUUUCACUUGUGUUCAGUCCUGUUUUCUAGUAAAUAUAUAUAUAUAGAGGUAGUUAAUGAACAGAAGCUCAAAGAUUUUUUGUUAAUUAUGGUGACUGUAGUCUGUCAGGGGUUUAUUGAGGCAGUUCUAGCUUGAAACUUUAAUUUCUCGCUAAUUUUACCACAAAAUAUUUCUCGUCACGCUUCGCUUGCCAAUAUAUCAAUAUUGCACCCACUCAAUAAUUUCUAUAAAAAUUUUGUCUUGCCCCGCUAGGCAAAAAAAUAAUUUUUGAGAUCCCGCCUAACCUAUCUUUUUCAAAGACAACUAUGAAUACCUAGAAGUGUCCACUGGAUUUUUACCCUGCCACACAAUCUCCACUUAUUUAUUUAGAGAAACCAUGCAUAUGUGACCCUUACUGGUUACAGGUAUUGUUAAUAAAGAAACUUGUAUUAAACUAGAUAUCACUGGAAUCAGAAUUUUCUUUAGUUUAUAACACAAUAAAAGGAAAGUAUAAUUUUUACAUAAUAAAAAAGUUCUUUUCAGAGAAAAUAUAAAAAAAAAGCCGAAUCUGAACAUAGAAAAAACCUUUUAUCAAGUCAUGUGCAUACCCAUGUAGGCAUGAUAUAUAGGUAUAGGAAGACGUGGUAUGAGUGCCAACGAGACAAACAACAAGCUAUAAAGGGCCUCAAAAUUAUAAAUGUAAAACCAUUCAAACGGGAAAAAAAAUUGUCUAAUUUAUAUAAAAAAAAUAUAUACAGUUGUAUGUACAUUUCAGAUAAUCAAAACUAUGAAUUGAUAUGUGGUAUGAUUUCUAAUGAGACAAUUGCCCGCCAGAGUUAAAAAAAAAAAGUAGAUGUAAGCAAUUAUAGGCAACUGAACAGCCUCCAACAAUGAGAGAAACCCAUACCUGUAUGGUUGGCUAUUAAAAGGUCCCAACAUGAAAAAUGUGAAACAUUUCAAACGAAAAUAGCAAUGUUUUAGUUUAUAACAAAACAAUUUACAAAAAAAACCAGAUAUUACAGACAAUAACCAUUUACAACCACUGCACUACGUGCGCCAACAUAAUAUAGCGGGAUUAAAUUCCUGAGAGGGCUCAACCUACCCUCUUAUGUGGAACAAGGGUGUAACAAAAUGAGAUCAGUACAAGGUAAAACAUAAAUAACAUAGAAGCACUGACAACAGAGUACUUGCAGUAACUGGUUUCUAGUUUAGAGCUUAUUAACAAUUAAUAAAUAAAUCAUGUUCCCUGAGAGUAUUAAUCAGUAUACAUGCAAUGGAAUUUAUAGUGUAAGAACAUCAUUGACAGUUUGAGAAACACAUCACUUUGUACAAUGUCAAAAUAUAAAUAAACUAUCAACAGGAUGAUGGAUAACAAAUUUUCAUAACUGUUUAUAUGUAGUAAUAUAUAUUUAGUUAUGUUUUAAUUUCAGUAUAUUUGUGACCUGCUGUCUUUUUUCAAAUUUUCACUGGGUAGCAUUAACAGUUUCAGUUAAUUUGAUAAGGAAAAGGCUCUAAACAUGAUCAUGCAUGGUAUUUGUUAUGAGUGAUCUUGGGUUAAAAUAAUUUUUUUUCGACUAGUCCAGUGGAAUGAAAUUAAUAAACGAAAGUUAUUUUCAGCUGUGAAUAAUAAUCCAGAAGAAGAAUAUGCUAAUUCAGCUCUACCACUGCAACAUUUGAAUGAUGGAGAAUAUGCAAAUUCUGCAGACACACAAGGAUCCUCUGGUCUUAAUGUACGUAAAGAACUAUAUUAUUUCUUUUCAAUUACGCUAAUUUAAAUUAAAAGUAAUAAAAAUGCAUUAACAUAUAUAUUGUAUUAAAAAAUAAAUUCAACAAAAUUCAUGUGAAAUAUAACGCUUUCGCAUUUGUAAGCAUAAAGUCUUUUUAUCUGUUGCACAGCUCAAUUACAAGGCAAGUAGGUAGCAAUACCUCUCGUUGUCAAUUCUUUACUAUACUAAACAACACUCUAUCAUUCUUUUUAACUCCCAUUUCAAAUAUGCAAUUUUUGUUAAACAGAUGUAUCAACAUACAUUUCAUGCAUCACUUCAUUGUAUUAAAACAUUUGCAGUUCGAAAGUUCAUUACUUCAUUGUUUUAAAAACAUUUGCAGUUCGAAAGUUGAAUUGAUUAUGACAUUUUUAAUGUUCAAAUCAUGUGGUACUAUGCACUGAAAGGAAGGGUUUCCCUACAGUGGAUGUGUCACCAUAGGAAGCAAUGAUUGUCAGGAAGGUCAACCAAUUGUGUUUGGCAUGUUGGGUUCUGAUUUGCACCUUUUGAUUUUUAGCAACCACGAACGAACUUGUCUCAUAUUUUUUUUAAUUUCUGUACAUUAAACUCAUUUUCAGGUAAACAGAUGUGAUUUUAUUUCCGAGACAAGUGCUAAUGACCAUCCGCAAGAACUUGCGGUCAUCCGAUGUUCAUUAAAUCAGUACUUUGAUUAAGAACUUUUGUUUUUCAUAUGAUUUUCAUUUAACC